rnacentral:tRNA from 1 species
GGUUGUAGCUCAGUGGUAGAGCACUUGCAAUAAAUAAAUAAAGAUAUUGUGUCCAUGUUCAACUAAGAAUUUUUUUUAAAAAAAGUUAAAAUUAAAGGACUGAGGAUUUAACUCAGUGGUAGAGUGUCCUGGGUUCAAUCCCCAGGACUG